rnacentral:tRNA from 1 species
UCUAUUGUGGCAGAAAAAUGCAUAGAACUUAAAAUUCUAACAUAAAUUAUUAUAUUUCUUUAGAA